UAAAAAGGACCAAGGAGCUGGAAGCUGUUUCUAGGAUACAAUGUACAGCACUUCCUACUCUUGGCUCACUCUACCUUCAACCUCUCAGCUCUGUCAUUUUUUUUCUGUCUAUGAAUUUAAAAUAGUUUUAUGGCACCAGAUAGUGAAGUGAAAGCAAUAGCAUUUGUCCCAGCCGUGGGUGGGAUCACCUUGCUACCGCGGUGAAAUCGAAGGGGCUGAUCUUCACAAGGAUUUUGCAUUAAGGCAGCAGCUGCCCAUUGGCUGGAGAGGAAAUCAAACGUUUAUCCACUGCUACCUUUGCCUGUGGAUGGUAAAAAGAUUACAUACUCUGCAGAAGCUUUCCUGCAGAGUUGUCAUCAGGAGUGAUCCAAUCCUUUUCCGGACUGUCACAGUUUAUAAG
rnacentral:lncRNA from 1 species